GCCGGGCUGAGAGGUUGAACGGCCACAUUGGGACUGAGACACGGCCCAAACUCCUACGGGAGGCAGCAGUAGGGAAUUUUCGGCAAUGGAGGAAACUCUGACCGAGCAACGCCGCGUGAACGAUGAAGUAUUUCGGUACGUAAAGUUCUUUUAUUAGGGAAGAAUAAAUGAUGGAAAAAUCAUUCUGACGGUACCUAAUGAAUAAGCCCCGGCUAACUAUGUGCCAGCAGCCGCGGUAAUACAUAGGGGGCAAGCGUUAUCCGGAAUUAUUGGGCGUAAAGGGUGCGUAGGCGGUUAAAUAAGUUUAUGGUCUAAGUGCAAUGCUUAACAUUGUGAUGCUAUAAAAACUGUUUAACUAGAGUAAGAUAGAGGCAAGUGGAAUUCCAUGUGUAGUGGUAAAAUGCGUAAAUAUAUGGAGGAACACCAGUAGCGAAGGCGGCUUGCUGGGUCUUUACUGACGCUGAGGCACGAAAGCGUGGGGAGCAAACAGGAUUAGAUACCCUGGUAGUCCACGCCGUAAACGAUGAGUACUAAAUGUUGGGUAAAACCAGUGUUGAAGUUAACACAUUAAGUACUCCGCCUGAGUAGUACGUACGCAAGUAUGAAACUUAAAGGAAUUGACGGGACUCCGCACAAGCGGUGGAUCAUGUUGUUUAAUUCGAAGGUACCCGAAAAACCUCACCAGGUCUUGACAUGCUUCUGCAAAGCUGUAGAAACACAGUGGAGGUUAUCAGUUGCACAGGUGGUGCAUGGUUGUCGUCAGCUCGUGUCGUGAGAUGUUGGGUUAAGUCCCGCAACGAGCGCAACCCUUAUUGUUAGUUGCCAGCACGUAAUGGUGGGGACUUUAGCAAGACUGCCAGUGAUAAAUUGGAGGAAGGUGGGGACGACGUC
rnacentral:rRNA from 1 species